rnacentral:rRNA from 1 species
UGGGGAAUAUUGCACAAUGGGCGCAAGCCUGAUGCAGCCAUGCCGCGUGUAUGAAGAAGGCCUUCGGGUUGUAAAGUACUUUCAGCGAGGAGGAAGGCGUUGUGGUUAAUAACCGCAACGAUUGACGUUACUCGCAGAAGAAGCACCGGCUAACUCCGUGCCAGCAGCCGCGGUAAUACGGAGGGUGCAAGCGUUAAUCGGAAUUACUGGGCGUAAAGCGCACGCAGGCGGUCUGUCAAGUCGGAUGUGAAAUCCCCGGGCUCAACCUGGGAACUGCAUCCGAAACUGGCAGGCUAGAGUCUUGUAGAGGGGGGUAGAAUUCCAGGUGUAGCGGUGAAAUGCGUAGAGAUCUGGAGGAAUACCGGUGGCGAAGGCGGCCCCCUGGACAAAGACUGACGCUCAGGUGCGAAAGCGUGGGGAGCAAAUA